AACUUUCUGAAUCUGUAUCGACAUUUCAUCAGACACUGACCCACCAGGGGCUGAUGAAAAUUAUAAUAUACGUGAAGUG
rnacentral:pre_miRNA from 1 species